GUUCAAGUGCUUGCACAUAGACUAAAAUUGGAACGAUACAGAGAAUAUUAGCAGGGCCCCUGAGCAAGGAUGAGAUGCAUAGUACAGUAUGUUAGAUCAGUGGU